AGCUAAGGAAAAUGAAUAGCUUGCUGGAGAGAAGGCAUGUGACAACAACAUGAGCAGUAGUUUCUUGUGGAGAGGGAGGUGUAAGGCAGGAAGCUAGGAGGACAGUACUAAAGAAGCAGGAGGGAGCCCUGAAAGACACUGUACUAAACAAACUCUGAGAAGAGUCAGGGAGUAGGCCUAAGCAAGGCAGGUGAUAUAGGAAUUGGCCCUGGAAAAAGUGAAGCAGGCAGGUUGGGCUGAGGGCAGACAGCUCCCCCUUACACUGCUAGAGUUCUCUAGGAAGGCGGUGAGAAGACCCUUAGCAGUCCAAGCCAUUUUUGGGGCUGUAGAAAAAUAGACUGUAGAAAGCCCUACAAGGACUGGGAUGAAUAGGGCCAAAUCAUCCAAGCAGCUGGUGGAAGAGGAGCUCCAUGCACUUCCUCAUGAGGUAGAUUUCUUUUUCUAGCUAAUCUAAGGAAUAACAUAAAGACUCAAAGCCUCAGUGAGAUGCUUUUGGGCUACAAAAGGUGCAAAACUUCUCUCACAAGCCAGGAAUGAAAGUUUGAAUUGGGUGCCAGCCUAAUGUCUGUGGGAAGAUUAUUUCAAUCCCUUGGGAAAAGGAGCUCCUCCAUAAGAAGUUAAUACCCUUGGGACAGUAUAUUGGAAAGCUGCAUUUGAUCUCCCCUGACAAAUAUGACAGCAUAUCAUGUCUGAGAAGGUCCUGUCAGUAAAAGAGAAAACAAGUAUUUUGGAUUGUUAUUGCUUGUAUAGUGCAAAGAGUAGUCUCUUGUGGAGAUGUAAGGACCAUGGCUGCAGCAUAAUCUCCUAAACUGAGAGAGACUCUUCUAUGACUUGGCUUAGGCCCAUCAACACAGACCAGUUGCAUUAGAAGACAUUUUAACAUGAUCUCCAACAAGACGGCCAGUAAUCCUGCUUCUUCUGGUGUAGGAGAUGUUGACUGACAAAUGGCUUAUCCUGGCUUGCUCCUUUUUAGGCCAGUGAGGUGAUGGCCUGAAAGCAAGGAAGAUUGCUGACAUCCAUCUUUGCCACGUUGUUCAUUAAAGGCCUGAUCCAAAGCCCUCUGAAGUCACAGGGAGGGUUUUUUCCCAUUGACUGCAAUGAGUUUUGGAUCAGGCCCGAAAUUUGAAUUUGCAUUUGGUCACUUGUCCAUUCUCAUAGACUAGAGAUGUACACACUGUUCACAUCCAUAUAUUAAAAAUUGGUGUUCCCCAGAAUUAAACCAAACCAAAUCCGGAUUGAGGCCAGUAGUGAACAUUUUAAAAACACACUCAGCUGCGUGUUUUUGAAGUCAUAUGAAAGUGUAAAUUCAAUCAAAAGAAUAAGGUUUAAUGGUGCUGGGAUUUCACCCUGAUUGUUUACCAAUGUAGUCUAUCCCAUACUUAAUUUGGUACUUAGGACAACAAUCAUCAAAGAUAUAUACAUCUGAUGCAGUGGCUUUAUUUAACCUACAUGAAGGGCACUGCAAUUCUAUAUAAUCUUGGGCCAGGACAUUUGGAUCUAGAUCUGAAUGUUUAAUCCUCACUUUGGGCAUAUCCAGAUCUGGGGUAUUGGUUUUGUGUAUUGGAGCCAUAAAAGCCAAUUAUGAAGUUAAAUUACAGAUGCAGGUCUGUAUUCAGUGUAUACAAUGUCAUUGUCUGCUAAGCAGUGGUCCUCAAACAUCUAGUUAAAAAGGUUUCCUUUCCAUAAUUUGCUGCACACACGGUAUACAGCAUGAUAGCCAGGAGUCCAGCCAGUACCCUUAUCAUCCACAGGCAGCAGUUCUGCCAGGGUGAGCUAUUGUAAAAGGAAAUCUCACAGGUACUGGGGUAAGCUUUUCUCAGCUGGAAGCUGAUCCAGCUUUCUGUUGCCAAAUGCUGUGUCAGCCAAUUCACUUAGACUUAUCCAAUUACACACAAGUUGUUUAUAUAUACAGCAUUCAACACUUCCAGUAAGUUUUUCUGUGAUUGUGAUGCAUUUAAUGCUUAAUGAUACAGUGAGACUAAUAGGACAAAGAGGCUCACACAGAAAUCUGAGUGGUGCAGGCAGCACUAAGUUACAGGCAUCAUCGUUUUUAAAAGACUUUGAAGAGGAAAACAAGUGUAUUUGGAUUCAUGUUUCCCCCUAUACACCCCUGUAACACUUACUAGUUCUAAUGAGUAGUCCAAAUCAAUGCUCCUUUUGUGGGGGGGCUUCUGAAUCCAAACUAAAUUGUGUUCCCAAAAUUUGCAGAUGGCCUUCUAGCUCAGGGGAAAGGAUCUGAACAAAGCAUGGGUACUUUGAAAUUUGGGAUCUGAAUUUCUUGUGUCAGGUCCGUCUCUAAUUAUUUCCUGUGCAAGUUAUAUUUAUGUACUGGAGGGAAUGCUAGAACUCCUCCUUGCAACCAUGGCAAUGAUUUUGGGUUGUUUUUUUGGUUCAAGCGUGUGUAUGUGUACAAAUUUUAUGUAAUUUUAUUGAGGAGACUGCAUUCUGUGUGUGUCUCAUUUAAACUGCAUGAAAUGCCAAGACUGUCAGGGUAUAAAUAACAAGGGGAAAUAGAAUCUCUUAUAUUGCUUUCUGAGAACAUAACUUGCCCUAAAAUUUAGUUUUAUAUUUUAAGCACACUCAGAUGGAAUAGUAACUUGGAUUACAGAGAUACUUAACUUUACAGGCUGGAGGAAUAUCUUAAAUAAUGUUGUUAAGACGUAUGUCAAGUAGAGGAUGAUUAUAGGAAGAAGGGAUCUGGGCUGAACAAAUUUUAAACUUGCACAAACCUGUCAAAAAUGUUUUAUUGUCAGAUGUAUUAUACUACUGUGAUUAAUGUGAAAUGGAAAUACAUUAUUGUGUGUGAUAUGUAUGCAUGUUGCAGAUCCAUUAAGAAUAGUCAUGUGAUUUAUUUGUAUGAAAUGUCAUAUUAAAUGCUAAAAAUACACAUAAUGUUAAAACUGAGGUGCAUUCCAAUAAAAACAAGGAAAUUAUGAGAUAGGGCAGCCUUACAUCAAUUUAGCUCAUUCCCAAAUGACUGAGGUAUUGCAGCAUCUACACUGAAUGAUCUUUUGUAUAGUAGGUUAUAUUUUCAAAAGUGCACAGCUGUGGGUGCAGUUUUCCAUAUGAAAAUGUUGUAAUAUCCAGUUUUCUGCAGCUAUGCAUUUGGGAAUGUAUAUGCACACACAUUUGUAUCCAAUUCACCUAUUUCCAUAGCCCAAAAUUUAGACAUGGAAGACUGCUCUAAGGAUUUGAAAGGCUGGGUUGAAGCCCCUUUAAAAUUUGUUCUAAUGGGGAUACAUGCAAAAUCAUUUGGUAUGCAAAAAGUACUCUAUUUCUCCAUACCUAAAAGAGCAAACCACUUAUUUCAUGCAGAAAACCGCCUUUUGAGGUAAACAAUAAAACGGAGCAAACGUUAGAUGCUGUUUGUGAGUACCUGACAAACACCAAUGAACUUAUUCUUAUGCCCCUUUGAGAGAUAGAGAAGUGUUGUUGUUCUCAUUUUAUAUAUUAUCGCACUACAUUCAUAAAUGGCCCAUGCUCAUUAUUUUAGAGCUCUGUUUGGAUGGCAUCUGCCACAUUUGUGCCAUGACUGCUUUUGUAUAAUGAUCUCAGGUUCCCUUAUUAACGUUCUCCUUGCAGCAGAAAAAUAGAGCUCUCUAAUAUGAAUUAUAGAUACAUCAAAUGUAGUACAGGACUGCUACAAGAAUGGUCACAAAGGAGGAAAGCAGGCCAUUCGACAAACUGCUAGCUCCUCAUGCAGUAAAGACUUCAAUACAGUACAUGAAAAAGGUCUAUGCGUAAGCCAAAGUGUAAAAUCAUUACUAAGCACUUUUGCUAAGUGUUUUAAUUUAUGAGGGAGCUAUACUUUCCAGAGCCAUUACUCUAUAAGACUUAAAAUAUGACAGCAGUUUAACGAGAAACUAAACCAGUAAAUCCUCAACCCAUAAUAUUCUGAAUCUCACAUUGCCAUCGCUAUAGCAUGGCCUCUCUGACAGUUGCUGUGUAUGAUUAUAAUCCAUUGGAAUAAACUGAUACUGACAACUGCAACAUUUUAAAGCUUUCAUGCAGGUCAUACAAAUUGGCAGACUAACUUCUACCAUGUACCAA